AAACAAAUGAGUUAAUUGUUAGGUGAAUGGACUGGUAUCCUACAUUUAGUUGGGACACCUCACAUAGAGUCAUGAAGAAGACAUUCAUUUAGGUGAGCAAGUCAACUGAUGAAGCUUAUUGUCUUAAUACGGUUCAUCAUCUGAGGCACUACAUGCUGAGGUUAGAGAUUUGCAUCAAACUCUUAGUCAAGUCCAAGAUAGUGAGGAGAGGUUUCAACAGACACUUGGCCAAGUACAAGAUAAUAACAAGGAGCUUCAACAAAAUUUGCUUGAAAUGAAAGAGAGACCACACAGGACUCACAACCAUUUAUUGGCAAUCAUAAUGUUGACUUAUAAUUGUAUUUGUCGUAUACUUAUUAUUUUGUGUUGAACAUAUAUACUUAAACAUUUAUUUUUGUAUGAAUUGAUGAGUUUAUCUUA